rnacentral:rRNA from 1 species
UACGAAGGGGCAAGCGUUGUUCGGAAUUACUGGGCGUAAAGGGCGCGUAGGCGGUCUAUCAAGUCAGGCGUGAAAUUCCCGGGCUCAACCUGGGGCUGCGCUUGAUACUGAUGGACUUGAAUGCGGGAGAGGAUAGUGGAAUUCCCAGUGUAGAGGUGAAAUUCGUAGAGAUGUGGAGGAACACCGAUGGCGAAGGCAGCCCCCUGGGUCGAAGAUUGACGCUCAUGCACGAAAGCGUGGGGAGCAAACAGGAUUAGAAACCC